GCCUAACCUCUAGCUCUUUAGCCCGGACAAAACAACAACUACAAAUCAAACAAAUCAUUUGCCACCGCUAGUAUAGGAGAUAGAACGCACAACAAGACGCAACAGAGAUAGUACCGCAAGGGAAAGCUGAAAGAAUAAUGAAACAACAAGCACUACAAAGCAAAGAUUAACCCUUGUACCUUUUGCAUCAUGGUUUAGCCAGACCCCCUCCAGACAAAGCGAAACUUUAGCCUGCUUCCCCGAAACCAAGUGAGCUACCACCAAGCAACUAAUAAGAGUGAACCCGUCUCUGUGGCAAAAGAGUGGGAUGACUUCGUGGUAGAAGUGAAAAGCCUAACGAACUUGGUGAUAGCUGGUUGCUCAAGAAACGAAUUUUAGUUCAACUUUAGGCCCAACAAGCACUCAAAUGCCCUACUACCCGCCUAAAAGAUAUUCAAUGGGGGUACAGCCCCAUUGAACUAGGAUACAACCUAAACUAGAGAGAUAGUAAAAUAUUAACCACCAGUAGGCCUUUAAGCAGCCAUCAGUAAACAUAGCGUCACAGCAAAUAACUACAAAAUAUCACAAGCAAAAACAAACUCCUAGCCCAACACAGAGCCAUUCUAUACUGAUAGAAGAACUUCUGCUAAAACUAGUAACAAGAAUGAUUUCUCCUAGCACACCCGUGACUCAGAAAUAGAAAAACUACUGAAAAUUAACAGACCAAAAAAGGAACUACAGUCAAAAGCAAAGUCUGUCUUUAGCUCUGUCAAACCGACACCGGAGUGCCAAAAGGAAAGAUUAAAAAUCAUAUAAGGAACUCAGCAAACCCUGUCCCAACUGUUUACCAAAAACAUAGCCUUUAGCCCAACUAGUAUUAAAGGUCCCGCCUGCCCAGUGAAAAUUUUAACGGCCGCGGUAUUCUAACCGUGCAAAGGUAGCGUAAUCACUUGUCUUCUAAAUAAAGACCAGUAUGAACGGCUAAAUGAGGACAGACCUGUCUCCUAUGACUAAUCAGUGAAACUGAUCUUCCAGUACAAAAGCUGGAAUACAGACAUAAGACGAGAAGACCCUGUGGAGCUUCAAACAUCCACUAACAAGCAAAUAAUCUGCCCUAGUGUGUAGUUUUGAGUUGGGGCGACUUCGGAGUAAAAUAAAACCUCCGAGCACAGAGCCACACACUCUCACCAAGACCAACAAGCCAAAGUUAAAACAGCCGACCCAGUAACACUGAUCAACGAACCAAGUUACCCCAGGGAUAACAGCGCUAUCUUCUUCAAGAGUCCCUAUCGACAAGAAGGUUUACGACCUCGAUGUUGGAUCAGGACACCCAAAUGGUGCAGCCGCUAUUAAUGGUUCGUUUGUUCAACGAUUAACAGUCCUACGUGAUCUGAGUUCAGACCGGAGAAAUCCAGGUCGGUUUCUAUCUAUGCCGCCGCCUUCUUCAGUACGAAAGGACAAAGAAAGCAGGGCCAAUGCCAAAAGUACGCCCUAUAAAACUGCUGAAUAAAACUAAAGCAAAACAUGCACCCAAUUAAAGCCGGAGACAAUGGCUU
rnacentral:rRNA from 1 species